UACUACUUAUGUGCAGUGUGAGUCCAAAAUAUCUGCACUGAAGGAGUUCUCCAUCUAACUGCAUUUCAUCAUCUGGACAGCAGGUGACAUUUACGAGGGAGGACAAGGAAGCAUCUGUAAUGGCAAGGAGAACAGAAGACAGUUCCACCUGUGAAUCUAAACAGUAUGUAUCAUCAGCUGACCACAGGAGGAGAACGAUGGCUAAAAAAAGGAAGCCAUGCUGGGAUGAAAAGUAUGCUGUUGGAUACUUCAUGAUGUGGAAAAUCCGUAUAUGGCUAAUUGGGAAUUGGUUAGGCUUGUUACA